GUCGGGAAUAUUGCGCAAUGGAGGAAACUCUGACGCAGUGACGCCGCGUAUAGGAAGAAGGUUUUCGGAUUGUAAACUAUUGUCGUUAGGGAAGAUAAAAGACUGUACCUAAGGAGGAAGCCCCGGCUAACUAUGUGCCAGCAGCCGCGGUAAUACAUAGGGGGCAAGCGUUAUCCGGAAUUAUUGGGUGUAAAGGGUGCGUAGACGGAGAAACAAGUUGGUUGUGAAAUCCCUCGGCUCAACUGAGGAACUGCAACCAAAACUAUUUCCCUUGAGUGUCGGAGAGGAAAGUGGAAUUCCUAGUGUAGCGGUGAAAUGCGUAGAUAUUAGGAGGAACACCAGUGGCGAAGGCGACUUUCUGGACGAUAACUGACGUUGAGGCACGAAAGUGUGGGGAGCAAACAGGA
rnacentral:rRNA from 1 species